rnacentral:lncRNA from 1 species
GUAAGUUAUGUUUAUUUCGUUGGGCAAGGGGAAAUAACUUUGUAGCCUAUUGCUCACCAUCUCCAAUUUUUUCCAUGCCACUUGAUUUUAUUUCGAUUAGGAUAGCAUCCUACACGAUAAAUAACAUUUAAUAUCGGUAGUAAACAUCUGGAUGUCACCAUGAUACAGUCUAUACUGCUCAAUGGGUAGAGUUUGCACUGCAAGCCGAUAAAACAACAACACCAGACACAUUGCCCUUCGCUCCAGCUUGCCGCAUGAUACAGUACCACAGGAUGCCGCGCGGUGAACCACCGCUUCCCAUUCAUUUCAAUGGAAGGGGGGUCUUUGGCGGUGCGAAUGCGAAGGUGGCGUGAGAGGUGGUGAAAAAUAUAAACUUUUCCCAACUUUAUGCAAAUUACCAGCGGUGACCGCUGGGCGAUAACCAAUCAUAUCGAGUGGUUCCCAUGACGAAUUUGACUGCUGGAGGCUGGAGACUCCAAGGCUGGACACUUUCUUCAGCAAAGAUGGCUGACAAAAAUACUAGGAUGGAAGCAAAUAUAUUGAAUGUGCAACUAUAAUUAUGGUUUAUAGUACAUCAGAAUUUAAACAGGACAGCAAAAUGGGUAGACAAAGAGAACAUUGUGUAACAAGGUGUAGGCAGCUGACUUAGUGAUAGAAGGUUGUGAAAUCAAUCACAAGGGGAGCAUGUGAGGAACAUAUAGAGUGGAGAAACAACUGUAUGAGUGAAUAACAGGCAACUGAGUGGUUGCUGACUCUUGAGUAUACACUAAGAAGAUAAGUUCCAACGCCUGGCAACAUGUGAUGCGCCAGGAGGCUGGGACCAGCCUGUGCGCCUACGAUAGGCUGAGUAAGUCUAAACCACACUCAGCCUCUACUCUGACAGGGGCCCGCUCUGAGCGGGAACUAUCUCUGUCAGAGUAUUAAAGAAGAAUUUUGUGCUUAAACAGUUAGUUCUCUGUUUUGCCCUGCGAGGCUGAGUAAGUCUAAACCACACUCAGCCUCUACUCUGACAGGGGCCCGCUCUUAGCGGGAACUAUCUCUGUCGGAGUAUUAAAGAAGAAUUUUGUGCUUAAACAGUUAGUUCUCUGUUUUGCCCUGCGAGGUGUUAAAUUCACCGUGAACCCGUAUAUACGAAAAUUGCAUUUACCAUUUCUUAUGCUUGACUAAAUUCUAUUAAUAAACAGCUGAAAAUAUAUUCAGUAGCCUAGUGUUAACUUGUUA